rnacentral:tRNA from 1 species
GAGCUUGUAACUUAGUGGUAGAGUGUUCGCUUGAUAAGCGAAAAGUCAGUGGUUCGAUCCCACUCAAGCUCA